rnacentral:rRNA from 1 species
UCCGUAGGUGGUUUGACAAGUCAGUGGUGAAAUCUCAUAGCUUAACUAUGAAACUGCCAUUGAUACUGCGGGUCUUGAGUAAGGUAGAAGUAGCUGGAAUAAGUAGUGUAGCGGUGAAAUGCAUAGAUAUUACUUAGAACACCAAUUGCGAAGGCAGGUUACUAUGUCUUAACUGACGCUGAUGGACGAAAGCGUGGGGAGCGAACAGGAUUAGAUACCCCAGUA